UACGGAGGGGGCUAGCGUUGUUCGGAAUUACCGGGCGUAAAGCGCACGUAGGCGGCUUUGUAAGUUAGAGGUGAAAGCCCGGGGCUCAACCCCGGAAUAGCCUUUAAGACUGCAUCGCUUGAACACGGGAGAGGUGAGUGGAAUUCCGAGUGUAGAGGUGAAAUUCGUAGAUAUUCGGAAGAACACCAGUGGCGAAGGCGGCUCACUGGACCGUUGUUGACGCUGAGGUGCGAAAGCGUGGGGAGCAAACAGG
rnacentral:rRNA from 1 species